rnacentral:rRNA from 1 species
GGCCAGACUCCUACGGGAGGCAGCAGUGAGGAAUAUUGGUCAAUGGGCGAGAGCCUGAACCAGCCAAGUCGCGUGAGGGAUGACUGCCCUAUGGGUUGUAAACCUCUUUUGUAUGGGGGGAAUAAGCUUUACGAGUAGAGUGAUGACAGUACCAUACGAAUAAGCAUCGGCUAACUCCGUGCCAGCAGCCGCGGUAAUACGGAGGAUGCGAGCGUUAUCCGGAUUUAUUGGGUUUAAAGGGUGCGCAGGCGGAGGCACAAGUCAGCGGUAAAAUCGCGGGGCUCAACCCCGCUCCGCCGUUGAAACUGUGUCCCUUGAGUGCGCGAAGGGUAGGCGGAAUGCGUGGUGUAGCGGUGAAAUGCAUAGAUAUCACGCAGAACUCCGAUCGCGAAGGCAGCCUACCGGCGCGCAACUGACGCUCAUGCACGAAAGCGUGGGUAUCGAACAGGAUUAGAUACCCCUGUA